rnacentral:tRNA from 1 species
GGGGAUAUAGCUCAGUUGGGAGAGCGAUACGUUCGCAACGUAUAGGUCAGGGGUUCGAGUCCCCUUAUCUCCA